UACGUAGGGAGCAAGCGUUGUCCGGAAUCAUUGGGCGUAAAGCGCGCGUAGGUGGCCUCAUAAGUCCGCUGUGAAAGUCAAAGGCUCAACCUUUGAAAGCCGGUGGAUACUGUGAGGCUAGAGUACGGAAGAGGCGAGUGGAAUUCCUGGUGUAGCGGUGGAAUGCGCAGAUAUCAGGAGGAACACCGGUGGCGAAGGCGGGUCUCUGGGCCGAUACUGACGCUGAGAAGCGAAAGCGUGGGGAGCGAACAGG
rnacentral:rRNA from 1 species